rnacentral:rRNA from 1 species
GAUCCUGCUCAGGACGAACGCUGGCGGCGUGCUUAACACAUGCAAGUCGAACGAGAAUCUGUGGAUCGAGGAUUCGUCCAAGUGAAGCAGAGGACAGUGGCGGACGGGUGAGUAACGCGUGAGGAACCUGCCUUUCAGAGGGGGACAACAGUUGGAAACGACUGCUAAUACCGCAUGAUACGUAUUGGGGGCAUCCCUGAGACGUCAAAGAUUUAUCGCUGAAAGAUGG